CGUGUCGUGAGAUGUUGGGUUAAGUCCCGCAACGAGCGCAACCCUCACCCCUAGUUGCCACCGGGUAGAGCCGAGCACUCGAGGGGAACUGCCAGCGUCAAGCUGGAGGAAGGCGGGGAUGACGUCAAGUCAUCAUGCCCCUUACGUCCUGGGCUACACACGUGCUACAAUGGCCGGUACAAAGGGAUGCCACACCGCGAGGUAGAGCUAAACCCAAAAAGCCGGUCUAAGUUCAGAUUGGAGUCUGCAACUCGACUCUAUGAAGGAGGAAUCGCUAGUAAUCGC
rnacentral:rRNA from 1 species